GCUGAAAACCUAGCCCAACUAAACAUGAAUUAUACUAAGUCAAUUUAUUCCUUUUAAUAAACCAUUUUAACAUUCUAGUAAAGGAGAUUGAAAAAUUUAUUGGAGCUAUAAUAAUAGUACCGCAAGGGAAUAGUGAAAUAUAAAAUGAAAAAUUUUUAAGCAAAAAAAAGUAAAGACUACCUCUUGUACCUUUUGCAUCAUGGUUUAACUAGUCUAAUCAAGCAAAACGUAUUUAAGUUUGACUUCCCGAAACUAAGUGAGCUACUUCAGGGCAGCCAAAAGAGCGAACCCGUCUCUGUAGCAAAAGAGUGGGAUGACCCUCAAGUAGCGGUGAUAGACCUAACGAACUUAGUGAUAGCUGGUUACUCAAGAAACGGAUCUAAGUCCAACCUGAAGUUCACUAUUUUAGUUCACCAAAAUAACCUUUUGACCUUCAGCGUAAUUCAAAUAAGGUACAGCCUAUUUGAAACAGGGUACAACCUAGACAAAUGGAUAAGACUGACUCAACAUACAACUAAGUGGGCCUAAAAGCAGCCAUCUUUAAAAUAGCGUCAAAGCUUAAUUGUUAUUAUGCCUAAUCACCCAACCACCAUCUUAAUCCUCUAAUAAUACUGAGUAAUUCUAUAUUUCUAUAGAAAAUUUUAUGUUAAAACUAGUAACAAGAAGAAGAUUCUUCUCUCUAAUGUAAGUGUAAAUCAAAAAGGACAAACCACUGAUAAUUAACGUCAUUGAAACUAAAGUAGAAACUCAUCAAGAAAACUCUACUUUUAUUAACGUUAACCUAACACAAGAACAUUAUAAGAAAGAUUAAAAGAAAAAGAAGGAACUCGGCAAAUAUUAACCUCGCCUGUUUACCAAAAACAUCGCCUCUUGACUAAUAAUAAGAGGUCCAGCCUGCCCAGUGACCCUGUUCAACGGCCGCGGUAUCCUAACCGUGCGAAGGUAGCGUAAUCACUUGUUCUUUAAAUGCGGACUAGUAUGAAUGGCAUCACGAAGGUUAUACUGUCUCCUUUUUCUAAUCAGUGAAACUAAUCUCCCCGUGAAGAAGCGGGGAUAAAAAUAUAAGACGAGAAGACCCUAUGGAGCUUUAGACAACACAGCAUUUACCUAAAAAAACUAAUAUUUCUGAAUUCUAUAACUUCUAUAGAUAAUAUGACUGUAAGUUUUUGGUUGGGGUGACCGCGGAGCAUAACAUAACCUCCAUGUUGAAAGAAUUAUUUUUUAAGCUAAGAAUUACCCAUCUAAGCAUCAAUAAAUUGACAUCUAUUGACCCAAUAUAUUUGACCAACGAACCAAGUUACCCUAGGGAUAACAGCGCAAUCCACUUCAAGAGCUCCUAUCGACAAGUGGGUUUACGACCUCGAUGUUGGAUCAGGGUAUCCCAGUGGUGCAGCCGCUACUAAAGGUUCGUUUGUUCAACGAUUAAAACCCUACGUGAUCUGAGU
rnacentral:rRNA from 1 species